rnacentral:misc_RNA from 1 species
GGAAGGAUCAUUAUUGAAUAAAAACUUGGCUUUGCUGAUGCUGGUCUCUUCGGAGGCAUGUGCUCGCUGGUCAUCUUUAUAUCUCCACCUGUGCACCCACUGUAGAACUGGGAUUUGGGACUGCUGUGCGUCUUAGCUGACGCCAGCUUUCCUUGCCUCCCCUCCAGUCCUACGUUUUUCACACAUACACCUUAUGAAAUGUAACAGAAUGUCUCACUAGGUCUUUGUACCUAUAAAACGAAUAUACAACUUUCAGCAACGGAUCUCUUGGCUCUCGCAUCGAUGAAGAACGCAGCGAAAUGCGAUAAGUAAUGUGAAUUGCAGAAUUCAGUGAAUCAUCGAAUCUUUGAACGCAUCUUGCGCUCCUUGGUAUUCCGAGGAGCAUGCCUGUUUGAGUGUCAUUAAAUUCUCAACCUUACCAGCUUCUGCGGGUAAGGCUUGGAUGUGGGGGUUUAUUUUUGCUGGCUUGUAAUGAGUCGGCUCCCCUGAAAUGCAUUAGCGGUUGUCUUUGUUCCGACUAUUCAGCGUGAUAAAUUAUCUACACUGCUUAGGCGCGUUUACAAGGCUGCUUCUAACCGUCCGUUCACUUGGACAAGCACCUUAUGACAAUUUUGACCUCAAAUCAGGUAGGACUACCCGCUGAACUUAAGCAUAUCAAUAAGCGGAGGAAAAGAAACUAACAAGGAUUCCCCUAGUAACUGCGAGUGAAGCGGGAAAAGCUCAAAUUUAAAAUCUGGCGGCUUUGUCGUCCGAGUUGUAAUCUAGAGAAGUGUUACCCGCGUUGGACCGUGUACAAGUCUCCUGGAAUGGAGCGUCGUAGAGGGUGAGAAUCCCGUCUUUGACACGGACUGCCAGGGCUUUGUGGUGCGCUCUCAAAGAGUCGAGUUGUUUGGGAAUGCAGCUCAAAAUGGGUGGUAAAUGCCAUCUAAAGCUAAAUAUAGGCGAGAGACCGAUAGCGAACAAGUACCGUGAGGGAAAGAUGAAAAGAACUUUGGAAAGAGAGUAAAACAGUACGUGAAAUUGCUGAAAGGGAAACGCUUGAAGUCAGUCACGCUGCGGGGAAAUCAACCUUGCUUUUGCUUGGUGUACUUUCCCCGUCUGCGGGUCAGCAUCAGUUUCGACCAUUGGAUAAAGUCUAUGGAAAGGUGGCACCUUCGGGUGUGUUAUAGUCUGUAGUCGCAUGCAUUGGUUGGGACUGAGGAACUCAGCACGCCGAAAGGCCGGGGUUCGCCCACGUUCGUGCUUAGGAUGCUGGCAUAAUGGCUUUAAUCGACCCGUCUUGAAACACGGACCAAGGAGUCUAACAUGCCUGCGAGUGUUUGGGUGGAAAACCCGAGCGCGUAAUGAAAGUGAAAAGUUGAGAUCCCUGUCGUGGGGAGCAUCGACGCCCGGACCAGACCUUUUGUGACGGAUCCGCGGUAGAGCAUGUAUGUUGGGACCCGAAAGAUGGUGAACUAUGCCUGAAUAGGGUGAAGCCAGAGGAAACUCUGGUGGAGGCUCGUAGCGAUUCUGACGUGCAAAUCGAUCGUCAAAUUUGGGUAUAGGGGCGAAAGACUAAUCGAACCAUCUAGUAGCUGGUUCCUGC